rnacentral:rRNA from 1 species
GAUGAACGCUGGCGGCGUGCCUAAUACAUGCAAGUCGAGCGAACAGACGAGGAGCUUGCUCCUUCGACGUUAGCGGCGGACGGGUGAGUAACACGUAGGUAACCUACCUAUAAGACUGGGAUAACUUCGGGAAACCGGAGCUAAUACCGGAUAAUAUUUCGAACCGCAUGGUUCGAUAGUGAAAGUUGGCUUUGCUAUCACUUAUAGAUGGACCUGCGCCGUAUUAGCUAGUUGGUAAGGUAACGGCUUACCAAGGCAACGAUACGUAGCCGACCUGAGAGGGUGAUCGGCCACACUGGAACUGAGACACGGUCCAGACUCCUACGGGAGGCAGCAGUAGGGAAUCUUCCGCAAUGGGCGAAAGCCUGACGGAGCAACGCCGCGUGAGUGAUGAAGGUCUUCGGAUCGUAAAACUCUGUUAUUAGGGAAGAACAAACGUGUAAGUAACUGUGCACGUCUUGACGGUACCUAAUCAGAAAGCCACGGCUAACUACGUG